UGACUUCUCUAAUGGGGACGGUAAUGCCU
rnacentral:piRNA from 1 species